rnacentral:tRNA from 1 species
AUUUAAAUAGUUUAAAUUUAAAACAUAAUAUUGAAGAUAUUAAAAUAAUUUAAAAUUUUUAAAUA